GAACGAACGCUGGCGGCAGGCUUAACACAUGCAAGUCGAACGCCCCGCAAGGGGAGUGGCAGACGGGUGAGUAACGCGUGGGAAUCUACCCAAUCCUUCGGAAUAGCUCCGGGAAACUGGAAUUAAUACCGAGUACGCCCUACGGGGGAAAGAUUUAUCGGGGUUGGAUGAGCCCGCGUUGGAUUAGCUAGUUGGUGGGGUAAUGGCCUACCAAGGCGACGAUCCAUAGCUGGUCUGAGAGGAUGAUCAGCCACACUGGGGACUGAGACACGGCCCAGACUCCGUACGGGAGGCAGCGAGUGGGGAAUAUUGGAC
rnacentral:rRNA from 1 species